AAUGCUUGGGAACUUGCCUUUGCGAGGGGGAUAACAGUUGGAAACGACUGCUAAUACCGCAUAAUGUCUUCGGACCAAACGGGGCUUCGGCUCCGGCGCAAAGAGAGGCCCAAGUGAGAUUAGCUAGUUGGUAAGGUAACGGCUUACCAAGGCGACGAUCUCUAGCUGUUCUGAGAGGAAGAUCAGCCACACUGGGACUGAGACACGGCCCAGACUCCUACGGGAGGCAGCAGUGGGGAAUAUUGCACAAUGGGGGAAACCCUGAUGCAGCCAUGCCGCGUGUGUGAAGAAGGCCUUCGGGUUGUAAAGCACUUUCAGUUGUGAGGAAAAGUUAGUAGUUAAUACCUGCUAGCCGUGACGUUAACAACAGAAGAAGCACCGGCUAACUCCGUGCCAGCAGCCGCGGUAAUACGGAGGGUGCGAGCGUUAAUCGGAAUUACUGGGCGUAAAGCGCACGCAGGCGGUUUGUUAAGCUAGAUGUGAAAGCCCCGGGCUCAACCUGGGAUGGUCAUUUAGAACUGGCAGACUAGAGUCUUGGAGAGGGGAGUGGAAUUCCAGGUGUAGCGGUGAAAUGCGUAGAUAUCUGGAGGAACAUCAGUGGCGAAGGCGACUCCCUGGUCAAGACUGACGCUUCAUGUGCGAAAGUGUGGGUAGCGAACAGGAUUAGAUACCCUGGAAGUCCACACCGUAAACGCUGUCUACUAGCUGUGUGUGUCUU
rnacentral:rRNA from 1 species